GACGAACGCUGGCGGCGUGCUUAACACAUGCAAGUCGAACGGAAAGGCCCUGCUUUUGUGGGGUGCUCGAGUGGCGAACGGGUGAGUAACACGUGAGUAACCUGCCCUUGACUUUGGGAUAACUUCAGGAAACUGGGGCUAAUACCGGAUAGGAGCUCCUGCUGCAUGGUGGGGGUUGGAAAGUUUCGGCGGUUGGGGAUGGACUCGCGGCUUAUCAGCUUGUUGGUGGGGUAGUGGCUUACCAAGGCUUUGACGGGUAGCCGGCCUGAGAGGAUGACCGGCCACAUUGGGACUGAGAUACGGCCCAGACUCCUACGGGAGGCAGCAGUGGGGAAUAUUGCACAAUGGGCGGAAGCCUGAUGCAGCAACGCCGCGUGCGGGAUGACGGCCUUCGGGUUGUAAACCGCUUUCGCCUGUGACGAAGCGUGAGUGACGGUAAUGGGUAAAGAAGCACCGGCUAACUACGU
rnacentral:rRNA from 1 species